UACGGAGGGUGCGAGCGUUGUCCGGAAUCACUGGGCGUAAAGGGCGCGUAGGCGGCCUGAUAAGUAGGGGGUGAAAUCCUGCGGCUUAACCGCAGGGCUGCCUUCUAAACUGUCAGGCUAGAGCACAGUAGAGGCAGGUGGAAUUCCCGGUGUAGCGGUGGAAUGCGUAGAGAUCGGGAAGAACAUCAGUGGCGAAGGCGGCACUCUGGGACGGUACUGACGCUGAGACGCGAAAGCGUGGGGGAGCGAACAGG
rnacentral:rRNA from 1 species